CGGGCGGUGUACUCCCAGAUCGCCGCGUCGUCGGUGAGGGAGGCCUCGCCGAAGUAGGCGCCGUCGGCGACGGUGCGCAGGACCGCGUCCUCGCCGUAGGGGCCGGGGCCGAUCUGUUCGACGCGGCCGUGGGCGAGCAGGAAGACCUCGUCGGAGGGGCUGCCGAAGGAGGUCAGCUCCUGUCCGGCCUCGAAGUCGACCUGGCGGCAGCGGCCGGCGAGUUCGGUGAGGACCUCCGCGUCGUCGUAGUCGCGCAGCAGCGGCAGCUCGCCGAGCUCGGCCGGGAUGACCUGGACGCGGGAGCCGGUCUUGACGAACUCGACGACGCCGUUGCCGACGGUGUGGCUGAGGCGGCGGUUGACCCGGUAGGUCCCGCCCUGCACCGGGACCCAGGGGAGGGCCUUCAGCAGCCACCGGGAGGUGAUCUCCUGCAUCUGCGGCGCGGACUUGGUCGUGGUUGCCAAGUUCCGCGCGGCCGCCGUCCCGAGACUGCUCUGCGGUGUCCGG
rnacentral:antisense_RNA from 1 species